rnacentral:rRNA from 1 species
AUAUCAAUAAGCGGAGGAAAAGAAACUAACAAGGAUUCCCCUAGUAACGGCGAGUGAAGCGGGAAUAGCUCAAAUUUGAAAUCUUACAGGUUCCCUGUACGAAUUGUAGUUUAGAGAAACGUUUUCGGGUGUUGCUUGAGCAAUAAGUCCUUUGGAAUGAGGCAUCAUAGAGGGUGAGAAUCCCGUCCUGGGCUCAAGCUAUCGCUUAUGUGAUACGUUUUCCACGAGUCGGUUUGUUUGGGAAUGCAGACCAAAAUGGGUGGUAAAUACCAUCUAAAGCUAAAUAUUGGCGAGAGACCGAUAGCGAACAAGUACCGUGAGGGAAAGAUGAAAAGAACUUUGAAAAGAGAGUUAAAUAGUACGUGAAAUUGUCAAAAGGGAAACGCUUGAAACCAGUAUUGCUUGCAGGUAAUCAGCCACACGUUCAGUGUGGUGCACUUGCCUGCCGGCAGGUCAACAUCAGUUUGAUUUGGGGUAAAAAGCCAGUGGAAGGUAGCCCAGAGCUUGCUUUGGGUGUUAUAGCCUCUGGUCCUGCCCUGGAUUGGACUGAGGACUGCAGCGUUUUUUGGGUACCCGGUCGCCUCUUGAAAC